UACGUAGGGGGCAAGCGUUGUCCGGAAUCAUUGGGCGUAAAGCGCGUGUAGGCGGCCUUGUAAGUCCGUUCUGAAAGCCCGGGGCUCAACCCCGGGAGGCGGAUGGAUACUGCAAGGCUCGAGUCCGGAAGAGGCGAGUGGAAUUCCCGGUGUAGCGGUGAAAUGCGCAGAUAUCGGGAGGAACACCAAUGGCGAAGGCAGCUCGCUGGGACGGUACUGACGCUGAGACGCGAAAGCGUGGGGAGCAAACAGG
rnacentral:rRNA from 1 species